rnacentral:snRNA from 1 species
GUGCUCGCUUCGGCAGCACAUAUACUAAAAUUGGAACGAUACUGAGAAGAUUAGCAUGGCCCCUGCACAAGGAUGACAUGCAAAUUCGUGAAGUGUUCCAUAUUUUU